AGUUGCUUGUGAUUAAAUAACCCCAACUGACGUGGAAAUCAAAUAAAGCAACAAAGAACUGCUUUUUCAACUAACAAAAUAUACAGCUGGAUGUUUGUCACAAUUCUAAUGUCCCUGCAAAGAUGAGAUGCAUGAAUCACACAGCAAUCUCAUCAAAAAGGAAUUUCUGGAAGGCAUAGGAGAAGAGAAUCCUGGAAAAAGCAAGAAGCAGGAAGAUAAGAGGCAAAGAAGAAGAGAGCCCCACCCACUGGGGCAAGCUGGGGCCCCAGAUGAUGAAACUGUGGCCCAGAAAGUUUAAGGGAUGUGUCAAAUGUCACACAGCUCACAGAUCCAGGGACAUGGCUUAAAUCCAGAUAUCUUGAUUCUAACUUCAGUUGAGGAAGAGAAAGAGUGCUGCCCCACGCUGCCUGAUUUACAACGUGAAGUGAAAUCUUUGAAAAGAAAAAUAAGACAAUGUCACUCAAGCUCUUAUCUGAGGAUUUCCUGGGUUUGAAGACAGAGCUCAAACUCAUACAAGGGGUCAUCUGAGUCUGCAGAUAGGCUUGCUUUAUGCUGCUCCGUCAGAUCUCUUCUAAAGAUUAGUGCGCAAUUCUGGACAUUACAUUUUAAUGGUAACAUGGAUUCAACUAAAGGGUAAGCAAAGGACACCGACAGGAAUAGGGAGGGUGCCAUUUAUAGAGAAAAGACUGAGAGGUCCAUAUUGUUAUUUUACCUGAAAGAUAUAAUAAACAGA
rnacentral:lncRNA from 10 species